rnacentral:rRNA from 1 species
CCCUUAGAUGUUCUGGGCCGCACGCGCACUACACUGAUGCAUUCAACGAGUCUAAAACCUGCUCUGAUAGGGGUGGGUAAUCUUUUGAAUGUGCAUCGUGAUUGGGAUAGAUGAUUGCAAUUUUUCAUCUUCAACGAGGAAUGCCUAGUAAACGCAAGUCAUCAGCUUGCAUUGAUUACGUCCCUGCCCUUUGUACACACCGCCCGUCGCUCCUACCGAUUGAAUGAUCCGAUGAAUAUCAUGGAUUGAGGAUGCAAGUAGGUUCGCCUAUCUUCAUCUUCGAGAAGUGAAGUAAAUCUUAUCAUUUAGAGGAAGUAAAAGUCGUAACA